GACGAACGCUGGCGGCGUGCUUAACACAUGCAAGUCGAGCGGAAAGGCCUCUUUCGGUGCGUACUCUAGUGGCGAACGGGUGAGUAACACUUGAGUAUCCUCCCCUUGGCUUUGGACUACCUUCCGGAAACUGUGGCUAUUACCCAUUAGCCGCUCCUGCUGCAUGGUGGGGGUUUGGGAGUUUAGGCGGUUGGGGAUGGCCUCGCGGGUUAUCAGCUUUUUGGGGGUGUAGUGGCUUACCAACGCUUUGCUGGGUAGCCGGCAUGAGAGUGUGACCCGCCACAUGGGGACUGAGAUACGGACCAGAGGCGUACGGGAGACAGUAGGGGGGAAUAUUGCACAAUGGGGGGAAGCCUGAGGAAGAAACGCUGUGUGCGGGAUGAAGGCCAUCGGGUUGGAAGCCGCUUUUGCUCAUGACGAAGCUAUGGGUGACGGUAGUGGGUAAAGAAGCACCGGCUAACUACGUG
rnacentral:rRNA from 1 species